ensembl:lncRNA
GUGAGAGAGAGAAAAGAGACCCGACCAUUGUACCAUUCUGGGCCCCAGCUUCCACCAAGUAUCGGGACCCCAGCCCUGGAAACCAACCCCCAAAUCGCUCUCCUCUUCUUAGAAUAAGAUAAUUUAUCUCCCACUUUGAAUCUGUGGUCCCACCCCUCCUCUUCUCUUGUCUAGACUUCCAAGUGCUGGCUUUCACCACACUGCCCCACCUUGUUCCCCCCUCAAGCUCUCAGCCUUCAUCUUCGGAUUGCCACUUUCUCCUUCACAGCUAAGGUCUGGAUUUGUGAUUCGUUGAGCUGACAAGGACAGGGAGCUGGGGCAGGUUUGGGAAAGGGAGACUGGAAUACUUUGACCCUCCAAAUGACAAACUGUGUCCUCUUUCUAUCACUUCUUAUCAACUCCACUCCCCACCCUAGACACACAUCAUUGAUCACGCUCUCAAGUUCGAAGGUGAAUUAGAACUGGAAGGAGGCUGGGAAUGGGGUAUCCCGUCACACCCUUUCUCUUGCUUCCUUUGGGAAUGAGGGGUCCUGGAGGAACAAUAGCUUUCCUUAGUCCCUUCUUCCUGCCUCAGGUUAGAAAAGACAGGAGGAGGAGAUGGGAAAGAGUGGAGACGACAAAGACCCCUUCCCUGACAGGCAUGAGAUGGGAGAAGGAGGGGCUUAAUCAGAGUGGGUUGUUAUCCUGAAGGGGGGGGUGUCUCCAGACAGGGGCAGCACCCCCUGUUUGCUGCCUUUCCAGGGAGGGCAGCACGAGAAAGAAAGAGGGAGGCAAGCGAAAUUCCUGAAUGGAUAGACAGAUGCUACGUCAUCGGAGCCGCAUCCUCCACUCCACAAGAGGCUAGGAGCCGGAGAAAGAGGCAGGCCAGCGGCAGGGGCCACCGAGCCAGCGCGCCUCCUCCCAGAAGCCGGAGCAGAGCAUCGGAGAAGAAGCAGCCUCAUUUGCUUCUGGUGUCAUCGUAGGUGUCCACCUUUGGCUUUGGGGUUUUCACCUGGGGUGAAUGGGUGUUCCACCACUCUCCUGCCCUCUUUCCGCCACAAGAGCACCAGAACCCUAUCCAGCACCACGGACAGCUCCCAGGCGACGAAUGAGGUGGCUGUGCUGACCCCCUUUGCAGGGGUUAGGAGGGGCUCCUGUCUGCACGGUUAUAUAUCAAAGACUAGAAUUUUAAUCUUUGGGAGUUGUUUGCAGGCAAUUGAUAAGUCUCAGGGAGAGGAGGAGGCUGAUGGCAGUUGUCAUUCCAUCUCCAGGAAAUUGGGUUUGUCUACUUUGGAGAGUCUGAAUGAGAGGGCUCCAGCAGCAGGAAGGCUGAGGGUUAAAUUUCUGGAAGAAUUUAAGCUAAGGUCAUAUAGGAUUCAGGCUCCCCUGGUGGCUCAGAGGUAAAUAACCCACCUGCCAAUCCAGGAGACACUGGAGACCCUGGUUGGAUCCCUGGGUCAGGAAGAUCCUCUGGAGGAGGAAAUGGCAAUGCACCCCAGUAUUCUUGCCUGGGAAAUCCCAUGGACAGAGGAGCCUGGUGAGCUAUAGUCCUUGGGGUUGCAAAAGAGUCAGAUACAACUGAGCAAUGAAACAAUAACAACACGUAAGAAACAGAGUGUGUGGAUCAGGUAGAGCCUUAGAUGGCAUCAAUUCUAUAUCCCUCAUUUUACAGAUUCCCAAGAGAGUGGAAGAGAUAUGACCAAGGUUACUCAGCUGGUUAGUGGAAAGGCCAAAAUCCUGGUUUUGGAUUUGGCUUUGGAAAGGCCAGGCUCCUGGUUUCCAUCCUGGCCCUGUUUAUUGUAUCUGAUACCUCUUUAAGGACUCUCCCUGCUUGAGUUGGGUAGAGCAGGCCUAUUGCAGGUAGGUAGAGUUCACCGAUUGUCCCCAUACAAAAAAGGACAGGAUAUAUGUCCGGGCAUAUGAGGUGUCCACACAAGCCAGGAAGAGCUGGAAUUGACUGUUCUGUCUGAGAAGGUUUGAAAGGGAGGCCUCAGGGAGAAGCACAGGGGAAGGCAUACCUAGCAGUAGUUGAUAAGCCCAUGGGAGGAAAAGCAAGGAGGCAACCAUC